rnacentral:rRNA from 1 species
UCCACGCCCACGAUGAAUGUUAGUCGUUGGAUAGCAAGUCUAUUCAGUGAUGCAGUUAACACAUUAAACAUUCCGCCUGGGGAGUACGGUCGCAAGAUUAAAACUCAAAGGAAUAGACGGGGACCCGCACAAGUGGUGGAGCAUGUGGUUUAAUUCGAAGAUACGCGAAGAACCUUACCUAGCCUUGACAUUGAAGAAACACACUAGAGAUAGAGUGGUGCCCUUCGGGGAAUCUGAAAACAGGUGCUGCACGGCUGUCGUCAGCUCGUGUCGUGAGAUGUUGGGUUAAGUCCCG